rnacentral:tRNA from 3 species
GGAAGCGUGGCUGAGUGGCCGAAAGCGCUAGUUUCGAAAACUAGUAAACCUUUACUGGUUUCAGAGGUUCGAAUCCUCUCGCUUCCG